rnacentral:rRNA from 1 species
UACGAAGGGGGUUAGCGUUGCUCGGAAUCACUGGGCGUAAAGCGCACGUAGGCGGCUUCUUAAGUCAGGGGUGAAAUCCUGGAGCUCAACUCCAGAACUGCCUUUGAUACUGAGGAGCUUGAGUCCGGGAGAGGUGAGUGGAAUUGCGAGUGUAGAGGUGAAAUUCGUAGAUAUUCGCAAGAACACCAGUGGCGAAGGCGGCUCACUGGCCCGGUACUGACGCUGAGGUGCGAAAGCGUGGGGAGCAAACAGG